GCUGCCGUCGUGAUGUUGCCACUGCUUCUGCUUCUGUUUCUGCUGCUGCUGCUGCUGUUGCUGUUGCUGCAGUGCGUGGUUCUAAUUGACAGUUUUCGAGAACAACUUGUUGAGUUUAUUGUUAUCUUAAUAGGGUGCUCAUCUCCAACUUGCCAUCUCUGUCUCAGUCCCUCAGCUUUAUCUCUUUCCCUCGCCCGCGAUAUUGGAGGAUAAUGCCCCUGCCUCCCACGCCCCCGCCACGGGAGAGGGGAGCAGCGUCUCCCCCUCGCCACUCCUUCGAAGUGGAAAUUCCGUGGCUUAUUUGAUGAACGGACAGUGGAGAGUGUGUGGAAAGCUGUUUCCUAUAUAAAAAGAUACAGACAAAGGAGAUCGCUUUCAGUGAUGUCACCGACGGUUACGGAUUAUAGCGAAGUAACGAAACGAAACAAACAAUUUAUCGCAUUUAGUUCAACAAAAAUGUUUGUAUUGCUUUCUUAUCGCCAAAACCUCUCAGUUCGAGGAUAAACAUCACCAACAAACUGAGGAAAAUAAAAAAAACAGUUGUCGAGAAAAACAAAAACAGUUGGGACUUGAGAAAUAUUUUUAAAAUCAUUCACUGAAACUCCAAAGGUCACUGAAGAAAGCGUGACCUGCGUGAUCUGUGCGAAUUAAAUUAAAUAAAAUAUUAUUUAAAAAUAUAUAGCGUCUCUUCAGAUCGAAGAACGUGUUCAAGAGCAAGGUCUUGCUUUAAAAUUCAAUGCGAAUGUUUUUUAAUUAUGCUGUCCAUUUACAAGUUUAUUUAUGAGUUAUUAAAAAAUAGUAUUUAUUAAUUCAUAAGCCAUACAAUAAAAAAAAUGUUUCUUUUAGAAAAAAAAAAAAAGUUUUAAAGGAAAAUUGU